rnacentral:lncRNA from 1 species
UCAGAUCAAACCAAGAGCAAAAUCUUAGUAAGCAGUUUGCCCAUGGGUUCAAACAGUUGAGGUUCAUGACCUGACCCAUGUUCAUAAACCCCACAAGGUUCAUUGAUGGUGGUCAAACACCACACAAAAACCAAAAAGUAUCAAUGAUGAUGGAAACUAAAAUAUACAUGUACUAAUCCUUGUGUUGUGGCUACCUGAAAACUUCUUAAAACCAAAAUGGCUGAU